UAUGUUUAAGUAUAUGAUGUACAUAGGUUUUUGAUACCUGUGGGAAUGGUUUAAAUCCAUUAGACAUAG
rnacentral:tRNA from 1 species